rnacentral:rRNA from 1 species
UACGUAGGGUGCAAGCGUUAAUCGGAAUUACUGGGCGUAAAGCGUGCGCAGGCGGUUUUGUAAGCCAGAUGUGAAAUCCCCGGGCUUAACCUGGGAAUGGCAUUUGGGACUGCAAGGCUUGAGUGCGGCAGAGGAGACUGGAAUUCCUGGUGUAGCAGUGAAAUGCGUAGAUAUCAGGAGGAACACCGAUGGCGAAGGCAGGUCUCUGGGCUGACACUGACGCUCAUGCACGAAAGCGUGGGAGCAACAGGAUUAGAAACCCGUGGUAUC